ACACGACGCUCUGCACCGCGAUCUCCGGCAUCGCCGCUCCCGACCCGCUCCCAGCGGCGGCCGGAAGUCGAUGGAGCCGCUUCCGGCAUGAAAAAAGAGCCGCUUCCGGUCUGGAGCGGGGAGACUUCCGGUCGCGAGCUGAGCCACUUCCGGCCAGGAGUCGAGCCGUUCCCCGCCGGAAGCCAACGAGAAGCGACUUCCGGUGAGGGCAGAAGAGCUUCCGGUGAACUCCGGAAGUUCCUCGUUCUGCAGCCGCUCUGCGAACCGAGUCCGCCAAGCUCCGUGGUGUUCGGUCCUCCGGGUCGCCGAGGGUUCUCUCUGACCCCCAUCUAUGGGGCCGCGCGGACCCCAACCCCACUCCGGGGCUAUGGGGCGGAUUAUGGGGCUAUGGGGCAGGCUAUGGGGCGGGCUGCGGGGUUAUAGGGCAGGCUAUGGGUUGGGAGGUGGGGUUAUGGGGCCGGCUACGGGGCAGGCUAUGGGGCAGGCUAUGGUGGGGCAGGCUAUGGGGCAGGCUAUGGGGAGGGCUGUGGGGCUAUGGGAUGCGCUAUGGGGCGGGCUAUGGGGCAGGAAAUGGGGCUGUGGGGUGCGCUAUGGGGCAGGCUAUGGGGCAGGAAAUGGGGCUGUGGGGUGCGCUAUGGGGCAGGAAAUGGUGCUAUGGGGUGCGCUAUGGGGCAGGCUGCGGGGUUGAGGCCGUGGGGUGGGGUCCCCCGCCCCAUAGAUCCCCCCCACGGAUUUGGAGACCCCCGCCCCCCAACCACACAAAAGCGCUGCCCCAU
rnacentral:lncRNA from 1 species